rnacentral:rRNA from 1 species
GCAUAUCAAUAAGCGGAGGAAAAGAAACUAAUAGGAUUCCCUUAGUAACGGCGAGUGAACCGGGAUGAGCUCAAAUUUAAAAUCUGGCGUCUUUCAGGCGUCCGAGUUGUAAUCUAUAGAGGCGUUUUCCGCGCCGGACCGCGUCCAAGUCUCUGGAAUAGAGUAUCAAAGAGGGUUACAA